rnacentral:sRNA from 1 species
GAAAAAAGGGGGAGCACCAGAAGUAUACUCUUCAAUCCUCAUCAGAAUCGAGGUUUUCAACGUCUUCGUCAAUGUCGAACAAGUCCUCGUUGAUGUCCAUCUUUGCCAUUCCUGCAAUUUUUGAAAUUAGUUUUUGAGAUAGUGUGUCGGCUCGCCACAAGAGACCCAGACACAAUAAAGAAAACGUUUUUUUUUUUGCAAAACGUGUGUCUGUGGGAAAGGGAGAAAUUCAAUUGAUUUUUGCCGAAAGAUAACAGAUUUUGAAGUGACAGCCAAAAUGAUGUUUGAAUUUUUUUGUGUUGAUAAGAAUGAAAUGAGGAUAUUGACAGCCAGAGAAAAGCCACGUGUCAAAAAUAGUUUUUUAACAGAAAAAUUAGCCAUUCAAAUUUGACGAAAAUUGUUUUUUAUUUACGCACUGAAAAAAAUUACCUUUAGCAGUAGAUUCAACAGCAGUCGAGGAUUUGCUCAUUUGAUCCGUCAGUUCAUCGUCCAUUCCGUCGAAUUUGAAGAAGUUGGCAUCGAUUUCAAAUACCUUUUCAUUCUCCUGAAAUUAUUUAAAUUUUUGUAAAAUUAAAAUAAUUAAUUUCAAAAACUAACAUCAACUUCUUCCUUCUCCAUCUCAAUAUCUCCGGCCUCGUCGUCGUCGUUGUUGACCAGAUUGGCGUCAUAUAAGAAAAGAUCACG